UAUACAAAAUGUUAUUGGCGUUGUUGUCGAGGAAUAUUUUCUUCUACAAAAUUCUACGAAAAAAAAUAUCUUAUGAACGAAAAUAAAGCUUCAGUGUGCAAAUAGUCUCUUUUAUAUACUUUGGCUAUUUGCACACAGUGCUAAUAGAAUUUGUGUUAUAAAGAGACUAUUUGCACAUUGUGC